UGUACGGAAGAAGAGUGCAACGUUCUCGCUCUGCUAUGCUGUGAAAGUAGUUUUGAGGUCAAUGUUGAUCUGCUUCGUUUUCUUUCACAUGUCGCUUUUUCCAAGACUUGAUAGGGUCAUAUUGAUUUGUAUACUAGCCAUAAUGGUGAAAUUAUAUUUUUGGUUCUAUCAGAGUCGUUCAAACAUCAAAUCCCGUGUACAACCUGUGGAAAUGAAGCGUUCAAAAAUGGCGAAUAUGAGAGGCGAUGAACUGUGCCGGGCAGGGUGGGGACACUCAUCAUCUUCCGUGGAUAUCUCUGGAAACCACAAGCCGAUGAGUAAGAAUGUAAUGAGGUGAUCGUCAGUGAACCUGUCAAAUGCAGUCUUUGAAAGAAGUACCGCCCACCAUAGAUGUACGUACAUGUCCAACCACCCACACCUUUGAAAUAGCCUAGAGACUGUAUGACUAAUCCUUUACAGCAAACAAAGAAAUGACUGCAAAACUAAAAGAUUUCACUUUUUAAACUCUUCUAAUGUCAUACCUCAAGCUCACAAUUAGUUUACUUUGUUCAUCAAGGCACAGUGUGCAAUGGCAUUGAUCAUUCAUACAUAGUAAAAACAUGGUUGCACCAGAUUUAGCAAGUCCCUCAUUUUCAUCUGUACCUCAUGUUAAUGUUUUUAUUGCCCUGUUAUUGAGUUGUACUCCCAUAGCAGAAAUUUAGA